AAAAGUAAUGCAAGGGCGUAUGAAGGAUGCCUUGGCUCUCAGAGGCGAUGAAGGACGUGGAAAACUGCGAUAAGCUACGGGGAUUGGUUAACACAAUUUGAUCCGUAGAUGUCCGAAUGGGAAAACCCACCUUAGCAAACCUAAGGUAUCCCUAGAUUUAUUUUAGGGAAGCGAACCCAGUGAACUGAAACAUCUAAGUAACUGGAGGAAGAGAAAACAAUUAGUGAUUUCGUAAGUAGCGGCGAGCGAACGCGAAAAAGCCCAAACCAAAGCUGUUUCGGCAGCUUUGGGGUUGUAGGACCCACAUAACGUGUGUGUGAUAGAACUCAAAUUACCUGGAAAGGUAAGCCAUAGAGGGUGAAAGCCCCGUCGAGGUAACAGAACACAUACAGUGGGUAUCCUGAGUAGGUCGGUACCGGAGAAAUACUGACUGAAUCCACCAGCACCAUCUGGUAAGGCUAAAUACUACUGAGAGACCGAUAGCGAACGAGUACCGUGAGGGAAAGGUGAAAAGAACCCUGAACAAGGGAGUGAAAUAGACCUGAAAUCGUACGCCUACAAGCGGUCGGAGCCCGUAAGGGUGACGGCGUGCCUUUUGCAUAAUGAGCCUACGAGUUAGUCUUUUCUGGCAAGGUUAAUCCUCUUGAGAGGAGGAGCCGCAGCGAAAGCGAGUCUGAAUAGGGCGCCAUAGUCAGAGGAGCUAGACGCGAAACUUGGUGAUCUACCCAUGACCAGGUUGAAGCGCUGGUAAUACAGCGUGGAGGACCGAACCAGUGUCAGUUGAAAUUGGCUUGGAUGAGUUGUGGGUAGGGGUGAAAAGCCAAUCGAACCAAGAGAUAGCUCGUACACUCCGAAAUGCUUUUAGGAGCAGCCUCAACAUAGAUUGCUAGAGGUAGAGCUACCGAUAGGAUAGGGGGGAGUCAAAUCCUACCACAUCCAGACGAACUCCGAAUGCUAGUAAUUGUUUGUUGGGAGUGAGGACUAGGGUGCUAAGGUCCUAGUCCAAGAGGGAAAGAACCCAGACCACCCGCUAAGGUCCCUAAAUAUAGAUUAAGUUGAACUAAGGAUGUUCAGCUACUUAGACAGCCAGGAUGUAGGCUUGGAAGCAGCCAUCAUUUAAAGAAAGCGUAACAGCUCACUGGUCAAAGUAGCAGGGCGCCAAUAAUAAUCGGGCAUUAAAUCUAUUACCGAAGCGAUGGCUUAGUUGCAUUAGCAACUAGGGGUAGGAGUGCAUUCUAAUAGAGUUGAAGCCGUGCGGUAACGCAUCGUGGAUUUAUUAGAAAAGAAAAUGUAGGCAUGAGUAACGAUAAUGGUGGUAAAAAUCCACCACACCGAAAGACUAAGGUUUCCACGGCCAUGCUUGUCAUCCGUGGGUUAGUCGGCCCCUAAGUCGUACCCGAAAGGCGAAGACGAUGGGAAAUCGGUUAAUAUUCCGAUACUACCUUAUUAUAGAGAAGGGGGGACGAAGAAGUGAAAGAUCUGCCUUCUGAUGGCAUAGAAGGUUGAAGCCAGUAGGUAUAGGACCAGGUAGUAAAUCUCCUGGACCUGCCGAAGGUGAUAGUACUGCAAUCCUUAGGGAGCGUAGAUAAUGAUUCUAAACAUGCUUCCAAGAAAAGCCUCUAAUCGUUGUAAUAAUAAGGUAACCGUACCGCAAACCGACACAGGUAGUUGGGGAGAGUAUCCUAAGGUGGACGAGUGAAUCGUGGCUAAGGAACUAGGCAAAUUGGCCCUGUAACUUCGGGAGAAAGGGUGCCUACUCCUUUGCCCUCGGGUAAAGAAGAGGUCGCAGUGAAAAGGUCCAAACGACUGUUUACCAAAAACACAUGGCUUUGCAAAAUCGAAAGAUUACGUAUAAGGCCUGACACCUGCCCAGUGCUGGAAGGUUAAGAGGAAGGGUUAAUCGUAAGAUGAAGCUCCCAAUCGAAGCCCCAGUAAACGGCGGCCGUAACUCUGACGGUCCUAAGGUAGCAAGAUUCUUUGUCGGGUAAGUUCCGACCUGAUCGAAU
rnacentral:rRNA from 1 species